AGCUCCUCGUCGUCGACCUGGUCCUUCUUGUUGAGGAAGACAACAAUCUUGGGGACACCGACCUGCUUGGCGAGCAGGAUGUGCUCCUUGGUCUGCGGCAUGGGCCCGUCGGCGCCGGAGACGACGAGGAUGGCGCCGUCCAUCUGCGCGGCGCCGGUAAUCAUGUUCUUGACGUAGUCGGCGUGGCCGGGGCAGUCGACGUGGGCGUAGUGGCGGGUCUCGGUCUCGUACUCGACGGUGGCGGUG
rnacentral:misc_RNA from 1 species